GGACUACACGGGUUUCUAAUCCUGUUUGCUCCCCACGCUUUCGCGCCUCAGCGUCAGUAACGGGCCAGUGUGUCGCCUUCGCCACUGGUGUUCUUCCGAAUAUCUACGAAUUUCACCUCUACACUCGGAGUUCCACACACCUCUCCCGCACUCUAGGUGCCCAGUAUCAAAGGCAGUUCCGAGGUUGAGCCCCGGGAUUUGACCUCUGACUUAAACACCCGCCUACGCGCCCUUUACGCCCAGUAAUUCCGAGCAACGCUAGCCCCCUUCGUAUUACCGCGGCUGCUGGCAC
rnacentral:rRNA from 1 species